rnacentral:rRNA from 1 species
GAUGAACGCUGGCGGCGUGCCUAAUACAUGCAAGUCGAGCGAACAGACGAGGAGCUUGCUCCUCUGACGUUAGCGGCGGACGGGUGAGUAACACGUGGAUAACCUACCUAUAAGACUGGGAUAACUUCGGGAAACCGCAGCUAAUACCGGAUAAUAUAUUGAACCGCAUGGUUCAAUAGUGAAAGACGGUUUUGCUGUCACUUAUAGAUGGAUCCGCGCCGCAUUAGCUAGUUGGUAAGGUAACGGCUUACCAAGGCAACGAUGCGUAGCCGACCUGAGAGGGUGAUCGGCCACACUGGAACUGAGACACGGUCCAGACUCCUACGGGAGGCAGCAGUAGGGAAUCUUCCGCAAUGGGCGAAAGCCUGACGGAGCAACGCCGCGUGAGUGAUGAAGGUCUUCGGAUCGUAAAACUCUGUUAUUAGGGAAGAACAAAUGUGUAAGUAACUAUGCACGUCUUGACGGUACCUAAUCAGAAAGCCACGGCUAACUACGUG